rnacentral:rRNA from 1 species
UUCUUUCUCGAAAGUAAAAGAUCUAAUUAAGUUUAUUAGUUUUUGUGUCAAAAAAAUUUAAAAAGUUUAAUUAGGUGUGAAAUGUUAAUCGUUUUUACUAAUAUCUAGUAACUUUAGAAAAAAAUUUAGUUUGGGUUGUUGUGGAGUUCUUUAUUUUAAAGAUAUUUUAAAAACAAUCUUAUAUUUUAGGGGAUGAGCUCUGAAAUAAAUUUAAAAGAAAAUAAAAAGUUUUAAUUUUAGGUAGGCUUAGAAUUGGCCAUAAGAUAGUGUUAUAAGAUAAAAAUUAAAAUAUAAGAUUUAGUUUUCUUUUUUGUAUAUGAAGUUUAUUUAGAAAUGAUAAAAUCAUUGAAAAUAUGAUAGUAUAAGUAGAUAAUAAAAGAUUGAGAAAUAUUAAUUUGAAUUUUUCUUAGUAAAGAUAUAUAAAACUUGUAAUAAAAGAACUCGGCAAAUAGGAUUUCCGAAUGUUUAACAAAAACAUUUCCUCUCAAUAAAGAGAGGUAAGACCUGCUCACUGAAAUUUAAAGAGCCGCAGUAUUCUGACUGUGCUAAGGUAGCAUAAUCAUUAGUCUUUUAAUUGGAGACUGGUAUGAAUGGUUAAACGAGAAAUCGACUUUUUUUAUUAUAAAAAUCGAAUUUUAUUUUUUAGUGAAAAAGCUAAAAUUUUUCAGAAAGACGAGAAGACCCUAUAGAGUUUUAUAAUUCGAUAAAUUUUUUUUUAAUGGAUUUUUUUAGAAAAAAUUUUUUGGAAGUAUUUUGUUGGGGCGACAUUAAGAUAUAAAAAACUCUUUAUUUUUUAAACUUUGUUAAAAGAAUUAAUUGAUCCUUUAUAAAAGAUCAUAAGAAAAAAUUACCUUAGGGAUAACAGCGUAAUCUUUUUUGAGAGUUCUAAUCGACAAAAAGGUUUGCGACCUCGAUGUUGGACUAAAAUUUAGACA